UACGUAGGUGGCAAGCGUUGUCCGGAAUUAUUGGGCGUAAAGCGCGCGCAGGCGGCCUCUUAAGUCUGAUGUGAAAGCCCCCGGCUCAACCGGGGAGGGCCAUUGGAAACUGGGAGGCUUGAGUAUAGGAGAGAAGAGUGGAAUUCCACGUGUAGCGGUGAAAUGCGUAGAGAUGUGGAGGAACACCAGUGGCGAAGGCGACUCUUUGGCCUAUAACUGACGCUGAGGCGCGAAAG
rnacentral:rRNA from 1 species